AGAGUUUGAUCAUGGCUCAGAACGAACGCUGGCGGCGCGUUUUAAGCAUGCAAGUCGGACGGUAUACAAAGCUUCGGUUUUGUAGAGAGUGGCGGACGGGUGAGUAACACGUAGAUGAUCUGGCCCUGAGACGGGGAUAGCCUAUGGAAACAUGGGGUAAUACCGGAUGAAGAGAUUUAUCAUAAAGGAUAAGUAUUGAAAGCACCAACUGGUGCGCUUGGGGAUGAGUCUGCGGUCCAUUAGUUAGUUGGUGGGGUAAUGGCCUACCAAGGCAACGAUGGAUAGCCGGCCUGAGAGGGUGAACGGCCACACUGGGACUGAGAUACGGCCCAGACUCCUACGGGAGGCAGCAGCUAAGAAUCUUCCGCAAUGGGCGAAAGCCUGACGGAGCGACGCCGCGUGUACGAAGAAGGCCGAAAGGUUGUAAAGUACUUUUCUUUGUGAGGAAUAAGGGCAGCAGUGGAAAGGCUGUCUGAUGACGAUGGCGAAGGAAUAAGCACCGGCUAAUUACGUGCCAGCAGCCGCGGUAAUACGUAAGGUGCGAGCGUUGUUCGGAAUUAUUGGGCGUAAAGGGCAUGUAGGC
rnacentral:rRNA from 1 species